rnacentral:rRNA from 1 species
UACGUAGGCAGCAAGCGUUGUUCGGAGUUACUGGGCGUAAAGGGUGCGUAGGCGGUCCUAUAAGUAUGGUGUGAAAUCUCCCGGCUUAACUGGGAGGGUGCACUAUAGACUGUGGGACUAGAGUGUGGGAGAGGAAAGUGGAAUUCCUGGUGUAGCGGUGAAAUGCGUAGAUAUCAGGAGGAACACCGGUGGUGUAAACGGCUUUCUGGACCAUAACUGACGCUGAGGCACGAAAGCGUGGGUAGCAAACAGG